rnacentral:rRNA from 1 species
GACGAACGCUGGCGGCGUGCUUAACACAUGCAAGUCGAACGGAAAGGCCCUGCUUUUGUGGGGUGCUCGAGUGGCGAACGGGUGAGUAACACGUGAGUAACCUGCCCUUGACUUUGGGAUAACUUCAGGAAACUGGGGCUAAUACCGGAUAGGAGCUCCUGCUGCAUGGUGGGGGUUGGAAAGUUUCGGCGGUUGGGGAUGGACUCGCGGCUUAUCAGCUUGUUGGUGGGGUAGUGGCUUACCAAGGCUUUGACGGGUAGCCGGCCUGAGAGGGUGACCGGCCACAAUGGGACUGAGAUACGGACCAGACUCCUACGGGAGGCAGCAGUGGGGAAUAUUGCACAAUGGGCGGAAGCCAGAUGCAGCAACGCCGCGUGCGGGAUGACGGCCUUCGGGUUGUAAACCGCUUUCGCCUGUGACGAAGCGUGAGUGACGGUAAUGGGUAAAGAAGCACCGGCUAACUACGUG